rnacentral:lncRNA from 10 species
GUAUGUAUUUAUUUACUUACUUAUUUACUUACUUUAUUUUUACUUUCCAGACAGGGUCUCUCUUUGUUGCCUAGGCUGGAGUGCAGUGGAACGAACUUGGCUUAUUGAAGCAUUGACCACCUGGACCCAAGUGAUUCUCCUACCUUAGCCUCUUGAAUAGCUGUGACAACAGGUGUGCACUACCACACCCAGAUAAAUUUUGUAAUUUUUAUAGAGAGGGCAUUUGACCAUGUUGCCCAGGCUGGUCUCAAACUCCUGAGCUCAAGUGAUACUCCUGCCUCGGCCUCCCAAAGUGCUGGGAUUACAGGUAUGAAUCUCCGCACCUGGCCUAUUUUAUUUUAUUUUUUAUAGGGACCAUUGCAAUGGGGUCUUGCCAAGGGGGAGACAGAGGGUGGACUCAACUCCUCAUUAUCUCCAUUUUACAGAUGAAGAAAAUGAGGCACUGAGAGAUUACAUAACUUCCCUUGAGUCAUAUUUGCUUGUAAGUGGUAAGGCUGGAUGUUGAACCCAGGACAAAGGGGUAUGUAUGCAUGUAUGUAUGUAUUUAUUUUUAAUUUAUUUUUUAAAGACAAGAUCUCUGCUGUCACUCAGGCUCAAGUACAGUGGCAAGAUCAUAGCUUACUGCAGCCUUAACCUCCUGGGCUCAAGGAAUCCUCCCGCCUCAGCCUCCUGAGUAGCUGGGAAUAUAGGUAUAUUCUGCUGUACCUGGCUAGAUGUUAAAAGCUAGUGGCUUUUAAGCUUUGUGCUAUACCACCUUUUUCAAGACCACUGAGUUCAGAUAGUGACCUCAGAGUGAGGACACAAUGGCACUCCAGCUCAGACAGGUCUCUGGGGAUAGUGACAGAAUUCUCUCUUCCCAGUGUCCACUCAAGGGACAGAAUUCUGUACCUUAGGCCAGAAUUUCCUCCAGUUCUUUCCAUCCCUUGGGCAACCUACAUAUCUGUGGCCUAUUCUAGGGGACUGGAAGUGACAGCUGAGACCUGCUUAGUGACGUGACAUCAUGGGAAUUUGAGAGCACAGGCUUUGAGGCUGGCAUGGUGAUAGUAAUUACUGGCCUCAGCAUGACGGGGAGGGUGACUGAGAUAAGCGCCUGGAAAGAGGCUGGCAGGGUGCCGGGCACUUAGAAGGCACCCGGUGUGGUGGAGAUGGUUGGCCUUGUGGAUUGUCCUGUAGUCUGUUAAUUCCUAGGACUGGAAUACUAAUUUUAUGGUUGGGGGAUACUUGAUAGAACUUGUUUCUGCAGGAUGAGAAGGAAAAUGCUCUGCAAAUUUGCAGAGCACUGACUAUAAAAAUUGAGACCAGAGAACUUACUAUAAGCUGGGUACCCUGGGAGGCACUGACAUAUAUCAUCUCACAAUCUUUGCAAACAACUCUAGGGAACGGGACACCCCUGUUACAGAUGAGGAGGCUGAGGAUCAGAGAUGAGCUUGCUCAAGGUCGCUUAGCUAGUAAGUGGUAGAAUUGGGCUUCUGAUCAUUUCUUUUGCUUAAAGAUUUCUUUGAUGUGGGACUAGUUCCUUCCUCUCUGCUAUAUCAUUUCUUUUUCUUUUUCUUUCUUUUUUGUAAUUUUUUUUUUUUUUUGAGAUGUGGUCUUGCUCUGUUGCCCAGGCUGGAAUGCAGUGGCACAAUCACGGCUCACUGCAGCCUCGACCAGCCAGGCUCAAGUGGUCCCCCCACCCCAGCUUCCCAAGUACCUGGGACUACAGGUGCACACCACCAUGUUCAGCUAAUUUUUAAAUUUUUUGUAGAGAAACG